GGAAUACCAUAAAACCCAGAAGUCCCAGCAGAACAAUACAGAGAGGAUGAGCACGGCCCCUGCACAAGGAUGACACAAAUUCGUGAAAUGUUCCAUAUUUUU